UGAUCGGCGCAGGAAUUGUGCUGUUUGUCCUGUUCAUCGCUGUCCGAAGGAGAACGGCGUCAGGAUAGCGAGCGAUCG
rfam:Hapalosiphon sp. MRB220 contig_27, whole genome shotgun sequence.